rnacentral:rRNA from 1 species
UACACACCGCCCGUCACGUCAUGGGAGUGGAUUGCACCAGAAGUGGCUAGUCUAACCUUCGGGAGGACGGUUACCACGGUGUGGUCCAUGACUGGGACG